UGGGGAAUAUUGCACAAUGGGCGAAAGCCUGAUGCAGCAACGCCGCGUGAGUGAUGAAGGUCUUCGGAUUGUAAAGCUCUGUCUUUUGGGACGAUAAUGACGGUACCAAAGGAGGAAGCCACGGCUAACUACGUGCCAGCAGCCGCGGUAAUACGUAGGUGGCGAGCGUUGUCCGGAUUUACUGGGCGUAAAGGGUGCGUAGGCGGAUGUUUAAGUGAGAUGUGAAAUACCCGGGCUUAACUUGGGUGCUGCAUUUCAAACUGGAUAUCUAGAGUGCAGGAGAGGAGAAUGGAAUUCCUAGUGUAGCGGUGAAAUGCGUAGAGAUUAGGAAGAACACCAGUGGCGAAGGCGAUUCUCUGGACUGUAACUGACGCUGAGGCACGAAAGCGUGGGUAGCAAACAGGAUUAGAUACCCUGGUAGUCCACGCCGUAAACGAUGAGUACUAGGUGUAGGAGGUAUCGACCCCUUCUGUGCCGCAGUAAACACAUUAAGUACUCCGCCUGGGGGAGUA
rnacentral:rRNA from 1 species